rnacentral:misc_RNA from 1 species
GAUGAAGAACGUAGCGAAAUGCGAUACGUAAUGUGAAUUGCAGAAUUCAGUGAAUCAUCGAGUCUUUGAACGCACAUUGCGCCCCCUGGUAUUCCGGGGGGCAUGCCUGUCCGAGCGUCAUUGCUGCCCUCAAACACGGCUUGUGUGUUGGGCCUCCGUCCUCCUCCCGGGGGACGGGCCCGAAAGGCAGCGGCGGCACCGCGUCCGGUCCUCGAGCGUAUGGGGCUUCGUCACCCGCUCUUGUAGGCCCGGCCGGCGCUUGCCGACACAUCAAUCUUUUUUCCAGGUUGACCUCGGAUCAGGUAGGGAUACCCGCUGAACUUAAGCAUAUCAAUAAGCGGAGGA